GCCAUUCUCUCAACCCCAACCAAGCUAGAGUUGGUCUUUCCAGUGCAGCUAAGAAUGCCGGCUGAUUGGCCUCCUUGACACUGGUUUCUUCACAGCUGAGGUAACAAGCAGCAAAGCAAAGAAACAACUUGCAAAAUGGGGCAUAAAACUUGAAAACUACUCGUCGAUCAGGAGUUAAUAUCCAAAACUGUGUAAAGAAAAUAUAUUACUCAACAAAAUCAAGUCCAAAAAAACCAAGAUUGGAUAAUGGCUAAGAAAUUUGGAUAGACAUUUCUCAAAAGAAGACGCACAAAUGACCAAUAGGUCCCUGAGGAAAAUGCUCCACAUCACUAAGCUUCAGAGAAACGCACUCUGUGAUCACACAGUGAGAGUCACAUCGCCCAGCAGGAAUGGCUCCUGUGAAAAUCAGACAUUAAGCACUGGAGAGGAUUUGGAGAAAUUCAUGGCUGUAUAGGAACACUACAGACAGAAAUAAAUGUGGCCAGGCUAGAAUGUUAGAAGGCAUGGAUGUUUUUCAAAAUGCUCACGAUAGGAUGAUCAUAUGAUCCUGGAAUAAAAUUUAUACUAUGAUAACCAACAGAGUCUCCAAAACUCCUUGCUAUGUCCUCUCCCCUUUCUCUCCUCCUUCCUUUUUUAUUUCUAACUUGUAUUGUGUUUCUUGAUUUCAUUAUAUUAUUGUUUAAUUUUUUUCUUCCGUUGGUUUAAAAAUAUCCCUUCUAUCUCAAUUAUUUUAAUAAAUACAACAGAAAUUC